UAUAAUUUAAAGUAGGGCCUGCCCACUGAAAUUUUAAAGGGCCGCAGUAUUUUGACUGUGCAAAGGUAGCAUAAUCAUUAGUUUUUUAAUUGAAAGCUUGUAUGAAUGGUUUGAUGAAAAAAUAACUUUCUAUAUUUAAAUUUAAUAAAAAUUUUAUUUUUAAGUUAAAAAGCUUAAAUUUUUUUAAUAGACGAGAAGACCCUAUAGAGUUUUAUUAUAAUAAAUUUUUAAAUUUUAGGAAUUUAAAAAUUUUAAUUUUUAUUAUAAUUUGGUUGGGGUGACUAAAAAAUUUAUAGAACUUUUUUUUAUUUUAUACAUUGAUUUAUG
rnacentral:rRNA from 1 species